rnacentral:rRNA from 1 species
GACGUAGGGCGCGAGCGUUGUCCGGAUUUAUUGGGCGUAAAGAGCUCGUAGGCGGCUUGUCGCGUCGUCCGUGAAAACUCACAACUCAAUUGUGGGCGUGCGGGCGAUACGGGCAGACUGGAGUACUGCAGGGGAGACUGGAAUUCUUGGUGUAGCGGUGGAAUGCGCAGAUAUCAGGAGGAACACCGGUGGCGAAGGCGGGCCUCUGGGCAGUAACUGACGCUGAGGAGCGAAAGCGUGGGGAGCGAACAGG